GCCCGGGUGGCGGAAUUGGUAGACGCGCAUGGUUCAGGUCCAUGUCCUGGCAACGGGGUGGGGGUUCGACUCCCCCCUCGGGCACCA
rnacentral:tRNA from 1 species